rnacentral:rRNA from 1 species
ACUCAAAGGAAUUGACGGGGACCCGCACAAGCAGUGGAGUAUGUGGUUUAAUUCGAAGCAACGCGAAGAACCUUACCAAGGCUUGACAUCCCUUGAAUACUGUAGAGAUACAGGAAGCCCUACGGGGCAAGGAGACAGGUGGUGCAUGGUUGUCGUCAGCUCGUGUCGUGAGAUGUUGGGUUAAGUCCCGCAACGAGCGCAACCCCUAUUGUCAGUUGCCAUCAUUAAGUUGGGAACUCUGGCGAGACUGCCGGUGAUAAAUCGGAGGAAGGUGGGGAUGACGUCAAAUCAUCAUGCCCCUUAUGUCUUGGGCUACACACGUACUACAAUGGGCAUUACAGAAGGAAGCGAAGGCGUGAGCCGGAGCCAAUCCCCAAAGGUGCCCUCAGUUCAGAUUGCAGGCUGAAACCCGCCUGCAUGAAGUCGGAAUUGCUAGUAAUGGCAGGUCAGCAUACUGCCGUGAAUACGUUCCCGGGUCUUGUACACACCGCCCGU